rnacentral:lncRNA from 1 species
AUUAUUGCAAUUUGCAAGAAAUGUUUCAUAUACCUACACAAAAUAGUUGCAACCACUAUUUUAAGAACUCAAACUUCAACAAAGUCAUUGUCCACUAUUGAAGAAAGAUUCAACCGAUAAAAAAGGCUUACAUAUUCAUGUCAAAACCAACAUGAAUCCAUCAAGAGAAAUUAAUCAUGCAGUUACAACUCAAUUUAAACCACUGUUGGUUUAUUUAUUUAUUUAUAAAAGGGAUGAGAGAAAAUAUUCAUAAACAGUACUAAUAUGAAUAUUUAAUCUCUUCAUAUAGCAACCACCAAACCACUUUACUUUAAAUUCAUGCUAUUGAAACUCCACAUUGUCCAUAUCUAUAAAUUCAAGUUUCAUAUUCAACCAUUAAAUCCUUGAUCCAAGUAUUUUAUAGCAGCCAAUUUUUCUAAUUCACAAAUACAAAUCAAAUCACAAUAUAAAACCAUUUAAGUAAGCAUAGUGUUUCUGCCUAGUGAAAGCUUUUUUUUAAUAAGCGAUGAAAGCUUCUUGAUGGUUGGAUGAAUCCAGCGGUUGAUAAAUUUUGACUUCAGUGAUUGUACAUAGGCUUUUAUCGACUGCCGUGAAUCUAAAUCCGACAUUGGAAGUAGCUGAUCGGUAAAUGAAGCGUCAUUUGGAGGUGUGGUAGAUUAAAGUCGGACACAACUAGCCUAAUCCUAAUCAUAACUUUAUUUGAGAUUAAAGUUGGACACAUUUUAAUCUCGUAAAUCAUAACUUAUAAUUUGCAACAUGAACAUCUAGUCUAGAUUAAAGUUUACAAAAAGUACGUCAUUUGCAACUUAAAACAUCUAUUUCUUUUCAAAAAUGACAACUAGCCUAAUCAUAAGUUUAUAAUUUAGCAUAACCAUUCCUACUGUAUGGAAAAUAUUCUUAGUAGUUGUACUCUUCGCCAAAAGCCUCACUACCGGAGGAGGGAGGGUUACUUAUCACGUCAAGAUCUUCAUUUUCUUCAUGCCGUUUCAACUUUGGACACCUAUACAAAAUAACACCAAUAUUAAAUAACAAUGCCUAAGUAACGUGGCUAAAAUCCUAGGAACCAUAAGAUGAGAAAGUGUAUUUAUAAAGUCACAUAAGAAUAAGAUGACGAAGAGCGUUUACUUACCAAGUCUCGAGUAAACCAUUUCGCCAAGAAAAGAACUUCAUUUUCUUCCGACAUUUUAUACUUAGCAUACCUUUAUAAAUUACAACAGUAUUAGUAUUAGGGAACAAUGGAUAAGUUAGCUAAAAACUAN